rnacentral:rRNA from 1 species
GCCCUAGUAACGGCGAGUGAAGCGGCAACAGCUCAAAUUUGAAAUCUGGCUCUCGGGCCCGAGUUGUAAUUUGUAGAGGAUGCUUUUGGUGAGGUGCCUUCCGAGUUCCCUGGAACGGGACGCCAUAGAGGGUGAGAGCCCCGUCUGGUUGGACGCCGAACCUCUGUAAAGCUCCUUCGACGAGUCGAGUAGUUUGGGAAUGCUGCUCUAAAUGGGAGGUAUAUGUCUUCUAAAGCUAAAUACCGGCCAGAGACCGAUAGCGCACAAGUAGAGUGAUCGAAAGAUGAAAAGAACUUUGAAAAGAGAGUUAAACAGUACGUGAAAUUGUUGAAAGGGAAGCGCUUGUGACCAGACUUGGGCUUGGUUGAUCAUCCGGGGUUCUCCCCGGUGCACUCUUCCGGCCCAGGCCAGCAUCAGUUCGCCCUGGGGGACAAAGGCAUCGGGAACGUGGCUCUCUCCGGGGAGUGUUAUAGCCCGUUGCGUAAUACCCUGCGGCGGACUGAGGUUCGCGCAUUCGCAAGGAUGCUGGCGUAAUGGUCAUCAGUGACCCGUCUUGAAACACGGACCAAGGAGUCGUCUUCGUAUGCGAGUGUUCGGGUGUCAAACCCCUACGCGAAAUGAAAGUGAACGCAGGUGAGAGCUUCGGCGCAUCAUCGACCGAUCCUGAUGUUAUCGGAUGGAUUUGAGUAAGAGCAUACGGGGCCGGACCCGAAAGAAGGUGAACUAUGCCUGUGUAGGGUGAAGCCAGAGGAAACUCUGGUGGAGGCUCGCAGCGGUUCUGACGUGCAAAUCGAUCGUCAAACAUGGGCAUGGGGGCGAAAGACUAA